AAUUUGGGACGACGCCCGCGAGGGGAAGGACAAAGUGGUGCUGGAGUUCACGCUCCCCAAGCCCGUCCUGGCCGUGCGGAUGCGGCACGAUAAGCUGGUGGUGCUGGUGCGGAGCCGCGUCUACGUCUUCUCCUUCCCACACAACCCCCAGAAGCUCUUCGAGUUCGAUACGCGCGAUAACCCCAAAGGGAUCUGUGAUCUCUGUCCCAGUUUGGAACGGGCCUUACUGGUUUUUCCUGGGCACAAGUGCGGGAGUUUGCAGCUGGUGGUGAGUUGUGGGGACU
rnacentral:lncRNA from 1 species